GCAUGUGAUGAUAGAACACAUUUGUUUCAAUAAUUCUGGUACCUCUUAUGUUAGAGUCUCUGGGCUCGAUGAAUAAAUUGGACUUCUGAAG
rnacentral:snoRNA from 1 species